rnacentral:lncRNA from 1 species
GAUCAAUGAAUGUGCUACUGAUAGGUAUGGUAUGAGAUUUUUUUUGAUAUCGAGCAAUCGCAUAGAUCAUCCAGCCUCUACAGAUCGUCCACUCGAAGCUCUGAUCGAAUCAUCCUUCUCGAGAGUGCUAGCUCACGUUGAAGGAUCUAGAUAGUUGAUUCAAGCUCCUUUCUUUGGAUCACCUGAAUUCUUUCAGAUUAGAAGAUGGAGCUCUACGAGGAGGUAGUGAUGUGGGAGAUUCGAACAAGACACUCUUGUGGUUUUCUCUCACACAAAAUCUAAAGUCAAAACCCUAGAACCCACCCUAGACCUCACGCCCA